rnacentral:rRNA from 2 species
AGGAUACGGUUAACGGAGCGAAAGCGACGUUCAACCUCAAAAGAAGCAGAGGGGGCUUAGUGGUGGGGUGACUGCGUACCUUUUGUAUAAUGGGUCAGCGACUUAUAUUCUGUAGCAAGGUUAACCGUAUAGGGGAGCCGGAGGGAAACCGAGUCUUAAUUGGGCGUUAAGUUGCAGGGUAUAGACCCGAAACCCGGUGAUCUAGCCAUGGGCAGGUUGAAGGUUGGGUAACACUAACUGGAGGACCGAACCGAC